GUGGGGAAUAUUGCGCAAUGGGGGAAACCCUGACGCAGCGACGCCGUGUGAGGGAAGAAGGCUUUCGGGUCGUAAACCUCUGUCAGAAAGGAAGAACCUCCCAAGUCCGAAUAGGGCUUGGGACUGACGGUACUUUCAAAGGAAGCACCGGCUAACUCCGUGCCAGCAGCCGCGGUAAUACGGAGGGUGCAAGCGUUAAUCGGAAUCACUGGGCGUAAAGCGCGCGUAGGCCGCUUUGUAAGUCGGACGUGAAAGCCCUCGGCUCAACCGGGGAACUGCGUUGGAUACUGCGAGGCUUGAGUCCUGGAGAGGGUGGCGGAAUUCCGGGUGUAGGAGUGAAAUCCGUAGAUAUCCGGAGGAACACCGGUGGUGAAGGCGGCCACCUGGACAGGUACUGACGCUGAGGCACGAAAGCGUGGGGAGCAAACAGGAUUAGAAACCCCAGUAGUCC
rnacentral:rRNA from 1 species